UUCGUAGCUCAGUUGGUAGAGUGUUCGUUCGGUAAGCGAAAGGUUCCGGGUUCAAAUCCCGGCCUAGAAA